GUACACACCGCCCGUCACACCACGAGAGUUUGUAACACCCGAAGUCGGUGGGGUAACCUUUUGGAGCCAGCCGCCUAAGGUGGGACAGAUGAUUGGGGUGAAGUCGUAACAAGGUAGCCGUAUCGGAAGGUGCGGCUGGAUCACCUCCUUUCUAAGGA
rnacentral:rRNA from 1 species